rnacentral:RNase_P_RNA from 1 species
CGAGCAAAUCGGCUUAUCGCUACUUGUAGAGGAAAGUCCGGACACCAUAGGGGAGCAUAGUGGGUAACGCCCAUCCGCCGCAAGGCGAGGACAAGUGCAACAGAAAGAAUGUACAGGUAAGGCUGUAGUGAAAUCAGGUAAACUCUAUGCGGUGCAACGCUAUGUAAACCAGCUCUUGAGGGUUCCCGCCCAACGCUGGAGGGUAAGCGGUUUGAGUUUGUAAGUGAUUGCAAAUCAAGAUAAAUGAUAAGCGCUCCGAUAGUUCGGAGAACAGAAUCCGGCUUAUGAUUUGCUCAUUUU